ACAACAACAUUUGGUCCGUCGGUCUACCGAGCAAUAUCACCCGCUCGGUGGAAGAUCUUCCCUUUGUUGUAUAUC
rnacentral:pre_miRNA from 1 species